CUGGAGCCAUGAGUUGAUUAAAGGGAAGUAUUGACUGAUUUAAGCUAAUUAUUUAGAAGAUAUUAGUAAAAUUUAGCUAUUAGGCGUUUGAUGUUUAUUGGAUCAAAUAGCCGAAAUUCAAUUAUCAAACACUUUUUGAGUAAUUGCAACUUUAAUAAAUUUCAAAACCUGCUGCAUCCGCCACCCGCCAGCCCAGCCACUGACCUCCUUCACUGACGUCCGGAAGCCCACGCCCCAGGCUCUUCCGCACAGCCGCAGCCGCCAGCCGGCCGCCGCCCACCAAAGUGUAUACUUUUUUCCUUUUUCGUUUUUCCCUAAAAGUUUUAAAUUUCUUAUAGAUUUUUCAUUUCUUUGAAUGUUAAUUGCUAUACGUUUUUUCAUGAUAGAUGAUCAUCCAAUACCUCAAGGCUCAAACCAUAUUUGUUAAUCAAUUUAGGGUUUUAGUUUAAUUGGUUAAACUUAUAAAUUUAGGUUUUAUAUUUAAUUUCUUUGAAUUUAUUAGAGUUUCAAUUGAUUAGUAAUUUACUUUUACAAUUGAUUUAGGUAAUUUGUUUGAAUUUCUUAAAAUAUUAGAUAAUUAAUUUAGGGUUUUUGGCUAUGCAUAUUCAAAUGGUAGAUUUGUAGUGAGUGGUUUUGGCCUAUCUGGGAUGAAGGUAAUAGCAAAGUGGUCAUGGGAAGGCUGUAAAUACUUGGGCAUCACAGGAUAGGAUGUGCCUUGGCUUCUUCAAUUUUUUUAAAAAAAUGCUUUUGCAUAGUUUGAUUCUGGCUAGUAGCUUACACAAUCAAAGAAUAUAAUUAAAGAGCAACAUUUUUUUCCAAUAACCUUCCUUGAAUCCUUCUCUUCUAGCCAAACCUUAAGAGUCUGUUGCUUUAUGUACGAAACUUUUUUUGGGAUGAUUGGUUACCUGAUGAUAUGGAUGUUUCCGGAAUCCACUGAUUCUCAAGAACUAAUGCCAAUUUAUGGACUACCACUGGUUUCAGUCAACACUUUUAUUUAUAUGGCCAUAUGGGUAGUGUUAAUCAUUAAAUACGUGAAUUCCUUGUCUAGUUGUUUGAAGGAUAUGUUUAGUAAUGUUCAGUUGGUUGAUUGAAUAUGACAUCACUUUGUGCUUACUCAUUUGUAUGUUGGCAUGUAGAAUGCUAACAAGGGACUUGUACUAAAAAUGUUUAUCGAGUCAGGGACUUAAUUGCAUGAAUAUUGAUAUGGACAUGGUGGCUCAUUGUCUAAUGUUUGUGUUGGAUCGAGUAUGGAAGGAGGGGUUAAUCGGCAUGCUUUAGAAACACAAGAUGCUGAUUUGGUUGAACAUCAUAUCAAUGAUGAGGUUUUGGAAACGCUCAGUAUGUGAAGAACAAGAAGAGAAAAAAGAAAUACAAGGAUGGUUCGCAUGAGCAAUAACAGUGAGAAAAGCAGGGAUAGGAGCAGUUCAAAGAAGAAGAAGCACUCUAUUGGGUUUAAUACUGUAGAAGAUUUACAUGCUGCUGUAUUAGAGAAUAAUGAGAACAGUAAAACUGCUGAGCCUUCUGAAAAUUCCAAUAGCAGUAAGAAAUCAAGAAAAGUAACGUUUUCUGAUAAUGUAGAAGUUUUCACCCUUCCAGACAAUUCUAGCAAAGGGAAGAAGAGGAAUCGUGAAGGUGACAUUGAGGAGAAGAAAGUUCCUGAUGAUGGCUUGAUACGUGGCGAGCGAUUCUCGAAAGAAGAGGAGAUUGUCCAAGAUGCUGUAACCAUCUGGGUGAACAAGGUUUAGAAAUGGUCGUGAAUUGCAAGUCCUACCCAAAAUUGAAAGACUGUUGGAAAGAAAUUGGGGAAGCUUUGCCUUAUAGACCUUAUGUGGCUGUCUAUUCUGGGCUCAUAUAUUGUUUGAACGAAGUGGGACCCGCGAGUGGACCCCAGAAGAGAUUGAGUAUGUCAUGAAAUCUUAUGAAAAGCAUGGUUCAGAUUGGAAAAAAAUGAGUAUUGAACUUGGGUGUUUUCCCGGAGAACCCAGAGAUUCAUAUUUAUGGUAAGUCAUGCAUCUUUGUAAUUUCAUAGCUUCAUGAUGAUGAUCCAUCAUUGUUUUCUGGAUUGCUUGUUUUUUUUUGUUUUGGGUGUGAUUUGGAUUUAAAAUUCCUCGGUAAACCCUAGAGAUUCCUAUUCAUGAUAAGUCAUCCAUCUUUGUUAUCUGUGAUUGUUAUUAACAUUGUACUGAGUUGCAGAUUUUGUUAUCUGCUCCUGCUAAAAUCAAUUUCUAUGGAGGAAGAAUUAAUCACAUCUUUCUUGGUUAGUUUUAUGUGUAUUAGCUCUAGAUAGGAAACUAGACUUAGGUUUUGGUUGUUGGCGGGAGCUAUUCCAUGGUUUGAUUAACCGAAAGUAUUGACUGAUUUUGCUAGCUGAUGUUUAAGACUUUAAGCUAGUUAUUUAGAAGAUGGUAAAAAUUUAGCUAUUGGUUGUUUGGUGUUUAUUGGGUCAAAUACCCAACAGUCAACGUAAAAGCCAACUUUUAAGUAAACUUAAAAGUCAUGUACAGACUUUUUUAGUAUUCAACCAACCAAAAAGUCAUUUAUUAGUUCAUUUUCAGCCAGAGAAACUCAAGGUUAACAAACAUGUAAAACUACUUACCAUACAAUUUGCGUUGAUGAUUGUAUCUACCUGAUGUAU